rnacentral:rRNA from 1 species
UACGGAGGGUGCAAGCGUUAUCCGGAUUCACUGGGUUUAAAGGGUGCGUAGGCGGCUAUAUAAGUCAGUGGUGAAAGCCCGCAGCUCAACUGCGGAAUUGCCAUUGAAACUGCGUAGCUUGAAUCUGGUUGAAGUGGGCGGAAUACAUCAUGUAGCGGUGAAAUGCUUAGAUAUGAUGUAGAACACCGAUUGCGAAGGCAGCUCACUAAGCCAACAUUGACGCUGAGGCACGAAAGCGUGGGUAGCGAACAGG